CCAUACUAGACGGGGAGUUAGCGGUGCCCUGUAAUCUGCAAUCCGCUAUAGCAGAGUGGAAAUCCCGUCCUAGGGUAACUAAUAGUGGGGCAGCCGUGUAUAAGCGGUUAUGACGGCCGGGUCUUGUGCAAUCGGAGCUUGUGAACCUCGUCAGGUCUUAGCGGAAGCAGCGAUAAGCGGGAAAUCCGAUGUGCCAUAAGAGUGCCUGGCCCGAGCAGGCUGUAUAUGUAACGCCUGUUAUUAUUGUUCAAAGACGGGUGUAUGG
rnacentral:SRP_RNA from 1 species